rnacentral:rRNA from 1 species
AGUGAACGCUGGCGGCAGGCCUAAUACAUGCAAGUCGAACGGCAGCACAGCAGAGCUUGCUCUGUGGGUGGCGAGUGGCGGACGGGUGAGGAAUACAUGGGAAUCUGCCCAGUCGUGGGGAUAACGUAGGGAAACUUACGCUAAUACCGCAUGCGCCCUUCGGGGAAAGCCGGGGACCGUAAGGCCUGGCGCGAUUGGAUGAGCCCAUGUCGGAUUAGCUAGUUGGCGGGGUAAAGGCCCACCAAGGCGACGAUCCGUAGCUGGUCUGAGAGGAUGAUCAGCCACACUGGAACUGAGACACGGUCCAGACUCCUACGGGAGCAGCAGUAGGGAAUAUUGGACAAUGGGCGCAAGCCUGAUCCAGCCAUGCCGCGUGAGUGAAGAAGGCCCUCGGGUUGUAAAGCUCUUUUGUCCGGAAAGAAAAGCGCCGGGUUAAUACCCUGGUGUCCUGACGGUACCGGAAGAAUAAGCACCGGCUAACUUCGUGCCAGCAGCCG